UUCGAUUUCUUCUCAUUCACUUUUGCUUUAUACACAUAUUCUUAUUAAUCGAUACUUCAAAAAGGAAAAAACCUAUCGUAAAAACUUUCUUUAUCUACAUGUUUUCAAUAUAUCGCCUAUGGACAUUGCUUCUUUAUCAAGAUUAAUAGAAACAACAAGAGCAAAGCAGGCGAAUACUGGCUUGGAUCAGACUUAGAUGGAGGACUUUUAAGCUGGAAAUAAUUAAACUUAGGAAAGUGAUUCAGUCACCUCGGGAAAAGGAAGGGUAAGAUAGUGGAUUCUUAUCCGGAAACGAACCAAAUUUAAGAAAACCAUUCAGUCUUCCCGAGAAAAGAAGAGGUAAUCAUUAUGUGUUUUUUAUUUGUCAAUGUUUUCUUUCUCAGUUUUGAAGUGAACUUUCUCAUUUACUUUUUCUUUAUACAAAACGCUUAUAAAUACAUACUUUGCAAAGGAGAAAAUUAACACAAAAAUAAUUG